rnacentral:rRNA from 1 species
CAGUAGCCGCGGGAAUACGUAGGGUGCAAGCGUUAAUCGGAAUUACUGGGCGUAAAGCGUGCGCAGGCGGCUUCUUAAGUCGGAUGUGAAAUCCCUGAGCUUAACUUAGGAAUUGCAUUCGAUACUGGGAAGCUAGAGUAUGGGAGAGGAUGGUAGAAUUCCAGGUGUAGCGGUGAAAUGCGUAGAGAUCUGGAGGAAUACCGAUGGCGAAGGCAGCCAUCUGGCCUAAUACUGACGCUGAGGUACGAAAGCAUGGGGAGCAAACAGGAUUAGAUACCCCAGUAGUCCCUGUCUCUUAUAA